AAUGAUCGUGAAAGUGCCUCAAGUAUUGAUUUUGGCGUUACAAAUAAAUUUUAGCAAAUAGACGAAUUCGCAAAUACAGAAUCCGCAAAUAGUG